UACUGCCCCCCGCCAUACUCGCCGAGGACGAGCCCCAACCAGAGAAUAUCACGCUUGGCGGACCAGCGGAGCCUCAAGUCAAUCGUGCCGCCAGCAGAACCCUGAGUUUUUGGUGGUUCUUCACCGCGGCGAUACCGUUAUUGUGCAUAAUGUGAAUCUAACUGUAUGUGAUAUAUAUUAAUAUAUUUUACUGUUUGUUUUUUU
rnacentral:lncRNA from 1 species